AUUCUCCAAGAUAAAGCGAUUCGAGCGGGAACAUCAUGAAUAGUUUAACGCUUAAAAUUUUACUGAUAGUUGGUGCAUUCCUUACACUAUUAUACCCCACCAAUGGAUGUUACGAGCUAGGUUGCGGUCGAAACGGUGUCCAACCGGCA